GUGGAUUAGAUACCCUAGUAGUCCACGCCGUAAACGAUGGGCACUAGGUGUAGCGGGUAUUGACCCCUGCUGUGCCGAAGUUAACGCAUUAAGUGCCCCGCCUGGGGAGUACGGCCGCAAGGUUGAAACUCAAAGGAAUUGACGGGGGCCCGCACAAGCGGUGGAGCAUGUGGUUUAAUUCGACGCAACGCGAAGAACCUUACCUGGGCUUGACAUCCCUUGACCGUCUAUGAAAGUAGAUUUUCCUUUCGGGGACAAGGAGACAGGUGCUGCACGGCUGUCGCCAGCG
rnacentral:rRNA from 1 species